rnacentral:rRNA from 1 species
AUUGAACGCUGGCGGUAGGCUUAACACAUGCAAGUCGAACGAGUGGCGGACGGGUGAGUAAUGUCUGGGAAAGUGCCCGAUGGCGGGGGAUAACUACUGGAAACGGUAGCUAAUACCGCAUACUAUCGGAUGUGCCCAGAUGGGAUUAGCUAGUAGGUGGGGUAAAGGCUCACCUAGGCGACGAUCCCUAGCUGGUCUGAGAGGAUGACCGGCCACACGGGAACUGAGACACGGUCCAGACUCCUACGGGAGGCAGCAGUGGGGAAUAUUGGACAAUGGGGGCAAGCCUGAUGCAGCCAUGCCGCGUGUAUGAGGAAGGCCUUCGGGUUGUAAAGUACUUUCGGCAGGGAGGCGUUACCCGCAGAAGAAGCACCGGCUAACUCCGUGCCAGCAGCCGCGGUAAUAC